rnacentral:tRNA from 1 species
AGGGGUGUAGCUCAGUGGCAGAGUGCCUGCCUGUCAGGCACGAAGCCCUGAGUUUAAUUCUUAGUACACCUC